rnacentral:rRNA from 1 species
AUACGGAGGAUGCGAGCGUUAUCCGGAUUUAUUGGGUUUAAAGGGUGCGUAGGCGGAUCAGUAAGUCAGUGGUGAAAUUCUGCAGCUUAACUGUAGACUUGCCAUUGAUACUGUUGGUCUUGAGUAUGGUCAAGGCAGGCGGAAUGUGUAAUGUAGCGGUGAAAUGCUUAGAUAUUACACAGAACACCGAUUGCGAAGGCAGCUUGCUGGGCCAAUACUGACGCUGAUGCACGAAAGCGUGGGGAUC